AUUGAACGCUGGCGGAAUGCUUUACACAUGCAAGUCGAACGGCAGCACGGACUUCGGUCUGGUGGCGAGUGGCGAACGGGUGAGUAAUGUAUCGGAACGUGCCCAGUCGUGGGGGAUAACGUAGUGAAAGUUACGCCAAUACCGCAUACGAUCUAUGGAUGAAAGCGGGGGAUCGCAAGACCUCGCGCGAUUGGAGCGGCCGAUAACAGAUUAGGUAGUUGGUGGGGUAAAGGCCCACCAAGCCAACGAUCUGUAGCUGGUCAGAUAGGACGACCAGCCACAGUGGAACUGAGACACGGUCCAGACUCCUACGGGAGGCAGCAGUGGGGAAUUUUGGACAAUGGGCGAAAGCCUGAUCCAGCCAUUCCGCGUGCAGGAUGAAGGCCCUCGGGUUGUAAACUGCUUUUGUACAGAACGAAAAGGUUUCUACUAAUACUAGGAGCUCAUGACGGUACUGUAAGAAUAAGCACCGGCUAACUACGUGCCAGCAGCCGCCGCCG
rnacentral:rRNA from 1 species